CCUACGGGAGGCAGCAGGGAGGAAUAUUGGUCAAUGGACGAGAGUCUGAACCAGCCAAGUAGCGUGAAGGAUGACUGCCCUAUGGGUUGUAAACUUCUUUUAUAUGGGAAUAAAAUGUUCCACGUGUGGGAUUUUGUAUGUACCAUAUGAAUAAGGAUCGGCUAACUCCGUGCCAGCAGCCGCGGUAAUACGGAGGAUCCGAGCGUUAUCCGGAUUUAUUGGGUUUAAAGGGAGCGUAGGUGGAUUGUUAAGUCAGUUGUGAAAGUUUGCGGCGCAACCGUAAAAUUGCAGUUGAAACUGGCAGUCUUGAGUACAGUAGAGGUGGGCGGAAUGCGUGGUGUAGCGGUGAAAUGCUUAGAUAUCACGAAGAACUCCGAUUGCGAAGGCAGUUCACUGGACUGCAACUGACACUGAGGCUCGAAAGUGUGGGUAUCAAACAGGAUUAGAUACCCUUGUAGUC
rnacentral:rRNA from 1 species